AUACUGUCUGAUUUCGUAUGGUUUGUAUUCCAUACAUAGUCAAGAAGUAUUCCAAGGAAACACACCACUUUGAUCAUCGUGCUAUAGCUAAUAGCACUCACAUUAUUGGUGGCACAUUACUUGGA
rnacentral:ribozyme from 1 species